rnacentral:rRNA from 1 species
CCUACGGUGGGCAGCAGUGAGGAAUAUUGGUCAAUGGGCGGAAGCCUGAACCAGCCAAGUAGCGUGCAGGAUGACGGCCCUACGGGUUGUAAACUGCUUUUAUACGGGAAUAACGCGCCUUACGUGUAGGGCCUUGCAUGUACCGUAUGAAUAAGGACCGGCUAAUUCCGUGCCAGCAGCCGCGGUAAUACGGAAGGUCCGGGCGUUAUCCGGAUUUAUUGGGUUUAAAGGGAGCGUAGGCCGGCUUUUAAGUCAGCUGUGAAAGUCCGCGGCUCAACCGUGGAAUUGCAGUUGAAACUGGAGGCCUUGAGUGCACACAGGGAUGCCGGAAUUCAUGGUGUAGCGGUGAAAUGCUUAGAUAUCAUGAAGAACUCCGAUCGCGAAGGCAAGUGUCCGGGGUGCAACUGACGCUGAGGCUCGAAAGUGCGGGUAUCAAACAGGAUUAGAUACCCCGGUAGUC